rnacentral:tRNA from 1 species
GGGGCCAUAGCUCAGUUGGGAGAGCGCCUGCUUUGCAAGCAGGAGGUCGUCGGUUCGAUCCCGACUGGCUCCA